UUUGCCGGCCAUAGGGCGCGGGACCCACCCGAUCCCAUUCCGAACUCGGAAGUUAAACCGCGCUCCGUU
rnacentral:rRNA from 1 species